rnacentral:tRNA from 1 species
GGGGGUGAAGCUCAUCAGGUUGAGCGUCCGGUUUGCACCCGGAAGGUAGCCGGUUCGAAUCCGGUCUCCUCCA